rnacentral:tRNA from 17 species
GGAGAGAUGGCUGAGUGGUUGAUAGCCCCG